UACGGAGGGUGCGAGCGUUGUCCGGAAUCACUGGGCGUAAAGGGCGCGUAGGCGGCCUGGUAAGUAGGGGGUGAAAUCCUGCGGCUUAACCGCAGGGCUGCCUUCUAAACUGUCAGGCUCGAGCACGGUAGAGGCAGAUGGAAUUCCCGGUGUAGCGGUGGAAUGCGUAGAGAUCGGGAGGAACACCAGUAGCGAAGGCGGCUCGCUGGGCCGUUCCUGACGCUGAGACGCGAAAGCUAGGGGAGCGAACAGG
rnacentral:rRNA from 1 species